rnacentral:lncRNA from 1 species
UCAAAUUGCAUGAACUUUGGUGGUUGAUAACCCCUCGGCAUCCUUAAGGCGUCGAUCUUCUUUGAAUACGGCUUUGAGUACAACCCGGAGGUAUUUGAGCUCCCUUCGUACUGUGCCUUGAUGGUGUUGGUGAUCAUCUCUUGCAGCUGCUGGAUAGAAAGAGAUCCCAUGAGUGCCGCUGCUUGGUCUGGCUCCGGCUUCGCAUCGUUUUUCUCCACCUGAGGCUCAUCUUCUGGGUUAGGGUUCUCGUCGUCCUGUGGCUCCAGUCGGCUGACGAGUGCAGCGAUUUGCAAGUCUUUUU